UCACCUCCACAGGCUGCUGGCUCCAUGCUGGGCUGGGCGAGUAUCUCUUCAAAAGGCUCACCCUCAAGCACAACUAGAAGC
rnacentral:pre_miRNA from 1 species